GGAGAGCAGCCUGAACCAGAUCCAGGAACAGGCAGGAAUCCUGGUGGGGCAGGGGAACCUGUUCAGCAACACCGCUGGGCUACAGUAAGAAAAAUUCUGAUUGUGUGAGACUCUGCGGGACGAAGACCAUGAUUUCUACAAAAUACCGCAAGGAAAUUGAGGGUAAGGGGAAAGGGGACCUGCACGCCACAGAUCAGACGGACCUGGGCUUCCACAUGGCAGGGUACCUGGCUUCAGAUGUCAUCUCCCACUGCAGACAAAACGUCCAAGACCGGACUUGCCAGGGGUUCUACGCCCCAGGCCCCUCUGAUGGGGGAGGGGCAGCAUGCGACCUGAGCGCCGAGCCUCUCUCUCUGGUUCUGGUUUGGGUGCUGGGAGGUGAGGUCAGGUGUAGAGUGUGCGCUCACUGCAGCCUGGAGGCAGAGCCUGGAGUUUGGGGCUCUGAGGAAGAAGGCUCAGUGACUAUGACCCUGCCAGGGAGGGGACUGCACAGAGAAGGGGCCAAGCAGAGCUCGGGAGGAGGCUGUGUGGGUGCUUAGCCGAGGGCUGGACUUCUAACGUUCACAGGAGGCCUUUGCAGGGAGACCUUUUGGAAACAGCCACUGAAACUUCUACAUCCACUGAGGUUUCUUUUCUCUGAAAAUGUACUUGAAAGGCAGAGUGAUGGAGAGAAAGGCGAGGCAGAAGGAUUCUCCAUCUACUGGUUCACCCCCUGAAUACCCACAACAGCCAGUGCCAUACCAGGCUGAAGCCAGGAACCCGGAACUCUGUCCAGGCCUCCCAGGACACCUUGGCAGGAAGCUGGGCUGAAUGAGCAGUGGCCGGACUCACACCAGCACUCUGAUGUGGGAUGUGACAUCCCAAGCAAGCGGCCUCACCUGCUGCACCACGACGCCGGCCCCAUCCAAGGAAACACAUCUUGUUAAAAUGAAGGUGAAAUAAAGACAUUUCCAGAUACAUAAAACAGAGACUCAUUCCCAACACAUCAGGGCAAUGCAAUUUCAGCCCACAAUGAGAUGCAGUUACUCAUGUGAAUGGCUCAAGUUAAAAAAAAAAGCAAGAUAAAUCCUGGGGAGGAUGUGGCAGGUGCCACACUCCUCAUUUGCUGUUGGGGACAGAAGUGGCACGACACAUUGCCAGCCUCGCAGUUUCUUACCAAGUUGGAUAUCCCCCAUCUCCUACGACCCAGAAAUCCCACUAUGAGGCCCUGGCCAGAGGAAAAUGCAAGCACAGUGCCACAAAAAGACAGCCCACUCAGCUUAGUCAUUACCGCUGAAGCCCAGGGCCCAUCCACGAGGCAUUCUCCAACAGGACACGCCUGUGUCAGUCAUGUGGUGGACAUGCAGGAAACACAAGGGAGCAAGAAACAAUGAUAUCCUAUUGGGUGAAUCUCAGAAACACCACACUGGGUGAAAUCAGUGCAUUCCGGUACCGCCCAAUUCCGUUUGUGAGAACUUCUGGGACGAGGACUCCGACAACAGAAAUCAGUGCAGCUUCUCCUGCGGGCUGGUUGGUGGGAAGAUGGAUAAGUGGGGAAGCAGGAAUUUGGGUGGGGGAGACAGAAACCUUUUAUAUGUUGAUUGACGUGUGUGGUUCACACAAAGUAUCUACAUCUGCCAAAAUGCUAGAGCUGUACACUCAGUGUCUGUCCACUUCAUCAUGUGUAAACUUUUUGCCCUGAUUAAAAAAAAAAAUUAACCAACCAAAGGCAUCGUCUAGGGCCCUGCGGCCCUGAUUUGGAUAAAACGCUUUUGGGAGGCAUUUGGAGAACCCGGAUACUGAACAUCCGAUGACGCUCAGGAAGGAGCGGCGGCCCGAGCAGCCCCUAAGGGAGCCAGUGGUGAGCUUCUAUUAAAAGGGACCUCGUCCGUUUGCCAUACACACUGGGAUGUUUGUGGGGAAGGGACAAGGUUUGCUUUAAAAUCCCCGGCGGGGGUGGGUAAGGUGCCUCGGUGUCCCGGGGGUGCGGAGGACGCCCCGCAGCCGCGAAUGUCGGUUGGUAAUACGGCUCAGGUACGCGGGGCUUAAGCUUUUCCACGAACCGGGUUGUAAGUCACGUGUCGCAAACAGUAAGAACUCGAGGUACGCGCAGCAGGAGCGGGGCUCUCCGGCGCGGGGUGCAGUAGGCAGGUAAGGGUGCCUUCGGUCUGCAGGCGCAAGUGGAGCCCGCCUCCUGCCUCGCCACGUGGCCCCCGAGGCUGAGGCUGGAAGCCCGCCCGGCCUAACUCCAGGCCGUGCGCAGGGGCACGGCCGCGCCCCCAGCCUGCCCCCUCACAGCCAGGCGGACCCGGCGCCGCCCCUGGAAAGGGAGUCUCCAUCGACGGUUAGGCACGGGAGCUGCUGACACUCCAAGCAGUUGCCCAGCUACCGGCUUCUUUUAAAAGCGCAACAAGGCCACCUGCUGAGCCGAGGGGCCCUCAGCAGAGGCCGAGGCGCCGGCGUCCCCAGCGCCCACCCGGCCCGAGCUCCCGCAGCGACCCCUCCCCUGCGCCGCGGGCCGGGUCCGCCGCCAGCGCCGAGCGCGCAGGGCAAACUGGAGCCCACGCGGGCCCCGGAGCGCGAUGGCUGGGGCCGCGGCGCCAUCUGGCGACCGACUGGGGCAAGGCCACCUCGCGUUCGGGUGGAAACGCCGGCGCCGUGGUGCGGCCCGCGCGCGGUGGGUGCGCAGCCCGAGCGUCGUGCUGCAGGCGUCGGAGCGGAGCUGGCGUCGACCUCCGUUCUAGCAGGGCCGCGCUCGUGCAGCCUCACGCGGAAGACCGGUCCCUCUUUCCACCUGGCGGUUACGCCCCAAGCUGCGCACUUCCCCGGGAUGUGCAGACCCGGGCAACCUGUGCCCUUGCUGGCAGCCUGCACAGGGUACAGAGAGGGCACCGGGGACUCUGCUCGGAUUCCUGGAGCCGAGUCUUCCUCAAACACCAUCACAUGAAGGCGCUGAAAGAACAGAAGAGCGAUUCUGUUCCAAGUAUCAUGGGCGGAUGUCUCUCACUUGUCUCGUGAAACACCAGGUCAUUACAAUGCUGCUAUUUAGAUGACGCUACUGCUGUUACUACUAUUAUUCUUUGGAAACUCCAGCCUGUAACUACAAACUUACUGAUUUGGAAACUUGGGGCAAAGGUGUCCAAUUAGCAAUUCUAUGUUUUAGGCAUCUUGUGUAUUACAUGUCAGGCAUUGUGUUAAAAAGAUAAAUAAGAGGGUUUGUGUGGUCCACAGGCACACAGCCUGCAGGGGAGAGAAUUCCAGGAGGCGGCUUAGUACUCCAGUAGGUUUCCCCCGGCUAUUUAGAGUAAUAGAAUACUCCACCAUCAAAAUCACCAUUGUAGCAACCACAGUUCCCAGUGACCAUGUGAGGAUGGGAUAUGGAAAGGAAUGAACCCCAUUUUGGCCAAGUUCUAGCUGGAUGCUGGUGGAGAUGUUCUUUAGGUUAACGCUGAGUAAAGAUCACACCGGGAGAAGGAUGCACAGCGCGAGGCUGGCUGUUUGCACGCUUGCUCUGAGUGCCUGGUCUGUGUUUGGCACGAGGCACUGCGGGUCUCUCUCAGUCUAGCCGAUCACCUUGCAGCCGGGGCAUGCAGUGACCCCCAUGCUGGCCAGGGCCGAGGUGAGCCGGCAAGGCACCUGGUGUGUGUAACCCGGGCAGUGCCCCUCUCAGGGGCUGGCUCUGCACUUGAACAGCCCUGCAGUGGAUGGCUGCCUCACCCAGCCCUGGUCCCCAUUUCACAAAGUGGUGGAUGCAGUGAGGUUAGGAGAUGCCUCCACAAGCACACGGCUGGGAUGUUUCGGACCUGAGGUGUGGACCCCACAGUCUUGUCUGACACUGGAGUCUCACUCCUGAUGCAUUUUGUGGUCUGUCCUGUCUCUAGGAGUCCCUGGCCCAGGUGCUGACUUUUGUUUUAUGGCUAGCCUGUGUGCGUGUGUGUGUGUGUGUGUGUGUGUAUGCAGUGUCUCCAUUCUUGGCAGAUUAUUUCAUUACAAAGCAGUGGAGGGAAGUCAGGGUCACCUGUUUGAGGUGCUUUGCGCUAAGAAGAACAAUAACAACACAGUUGUCCCUUCCUAUCUGUUGAUUCUACAGCCACAGACUCAACCAAGCGUGGGUCAGAGAUAAUUGGGAAACAGCUGCAUCUGUGCUGAGCAACCACAAUUCAAUAUGACAAUUCAAUAUGACAACGACUUACAUCGUAUUAGGCCUCGUAAGCAGUCUAGGGAUGAUAGGAGGUACGCAGGAGGAGGUGCCUGGGCUGUUCGCUAGCACUACAUCAUUUAUGUAAGGGACUCGAGCGUCCGAGGAUUUGGGUGUCCAAGAGGGUGCUGGAACACUGACUUGGGAUUCUUCUGAGUCUUACAUGAGACCAAAUGAACCGAGCACCCUGGAAUUCGUCCGUUGGCUUUGCGCCACCCAGUACCCACAAUGUGGCUGUGCUUUGCCGGGAGGGCCUUUGAAGAGAUAAUUCAGGAAAAAUGAGGUCACCAUGGGGGCCCUAACAGGGCAUCACUGGGUCCUCGGAGGAAAAGGCUGGAGCCCUGACGGACAGAGAGGAAAGGCCAUUAGACACAGGGAGAAGACGCCAUCUGCGAGCCAGGGAGGCGGGGCUACACCUGCGCUGCAAUGUCCAGGCUCCAAAACUGCAGGAAGAAAUGAAGUGUUCUCAACACCAGUGAGGUCCCCAGCCGAAUCCAAUCUCCAACAGUUUAGCAUGGAUUUCAGGAGCUGGCUGCAGUGGGUUCGCUGGGUAGACAAGCGAUUGGGAAGAGGGGCUCUGAGCUGGCAGCCGCUGUUUGGACCUUUGCCAGCCUCGAGCUGUGUGUGUCAGGCGCAUCACUUGACCUCUGAGCCACAGGUGCUCGUCUGUCAACGGGCUUCGGAAGCUUCAGUGCAAUAGAGCCUUGAGAAACGGGCCAGAGAACACAGGUCAAGUGCUUUGCAAGGGUCUGGCAAAGCAGAAGGCGCAUCAGAGUUUUUGCAUGAAUGAUCACGACUCUGAUACAUCGGUAUCAUGAGAGUGCUUCUCGGUGCUGAAAUAUCUCACACAGCAUCACAACACGGAAGGAAAACACCAUGGUUUCUAUUUUCUGGUUGCUUCAGUUCCGGACAGAAAGGACGUCGACUUGUGGGUAGGAGUUCUCCAUCGUACGCGUCUCUCCUUCAGAGGCAGCUUCGGUUGUUCAAACCAGAGCAGGUUUGAAAACUACAUUUCCUCUUUCUCCUUCUUUAGAAGGAAAUCUUUUAGAAGAUUCUGACUGCUGCUCACUUCUCGUGGAAGCAGCCCCGGGAGCAGAAGUCUCGCCGGCGUCUGCGCACGUUCAGUCACAGCGGCCGGGACUCUCUGGUUUGGCAUUCCGGUUCUGCUGCCGCCGCCGUGAGUUGUCUCCCAGGGCCUCAUCUGCUCUGAGCUCUGACACCCACUUGUCCCCUCUGUACCAGGGCUGGAUGUGAGGGUCUAUCUGUGGACUCCAGCCUGGCGUAUACGGAGAGGCGCUUACGUGGGCGUUUAGCUGGUAGAAGCGAUUCAUUUUCUCAGAAAGCAGCCCUAGUGAUUAAUGCAUGUGGCAACCAGAGAGCAGCUUGUUCAAGUCAACCCAGCUAAGAGGAGUCAACUACGGGGCAGGAAGACCCAGGUGCCGUUUCGUUUUCCUGUUGCGAGCACGUGAA